AUACGUAGGGGGCGAGCGUUGUCCGGAAUUACUGGGCGUAAAGGGUGCGUAGGCGGAAUGUCAAGUCAGAUGUGAAAUACCCGGGCUUAACCCGGGGGCUGCAUUUGAAACUGACAUCCUUGAGUGCAGGAGAGGCAAGUGGAAUUACUAGUGUAGCGGUGAAAUGCGUAGAUAUUAGGAGGAACACCGGUGGCGAAGGCGACUUGCUGGACUGUAACUGACGCUGAGGCACGAAAGCGUGGGGAGCAAACAGGAUUAGAUACCCUGGUAGUCCACGCCGUAAACGAUGGAUACUAGGUGUGGGGUCCGAUAGGAUUCCGUGCCGCAGCAAACGCAAUAAGUAUCCCGCCUGGGGAGUACGAUCGCAAGGUUGAAACUCAAAGGAAUUGACGGGG
rnacentral:rRNA from 1 species